rnacentral:rRNA from 1 species
GGUGCCAGCAGCCGCGGUAAUUCCAGCUCCAAUAGCGUAUAUUAAAGUUGUUGUGGUUAAAAGCUCGUAGUUGAACCUUGGGCCUGGCUGGCCGGUCCGCCUCACCGCGUGUACUGGUCCGGCCCGGGCCUUUCCCCUCUGUGGAACCUCAUGCCCUUCACUGGGUGUGGCGGGGAAACAGGACUUUUACUUUGAAAAAAUUAGAGUGCUCCAGGCAGGCCUAUGCUCGAAUACAUUAGCAUGGAAUAAUAAAAUAGGACGCGUGGUUCUAUUUUGUUGGUUUCUAGGACCGCCGUAAUGAUUAAUAGGGACAGUCGGGGGCAUCAGUAUUCAAUUGUCAGAGGUGAAAUUCUUAGAUUUAUUGAAGACUAACUACUGCGAAAGCAUUUGCCAAGGAUGUUUUCAUUAAUCAGGAACGAAAGUUAGGGGAUCGAAGACGAUCAGAUACCGUCGUAGUCUUAACCAUAAACUAUGCCGACUAGGGAUCGGACGAUGUUAUUUUUUGACGCGUUCGGCACCUUACGAGAAAUCAAAGUGCUUGGGCUCCAGGGGGAGUAUGGUCGCAAGGCUGAAACUUAAAGAAAUUGACGGAAGGGCACCACCAGGGGUGGAGCCUGCGGCUUAAUUUGACUCAACACGGGGAAACUCACCAGGUCCAGACACAAUGAGGAUUGACAGAAUUGAGAGCUCUUUCUUGAUUUUUGUGGGUGGUGGUGGCAUGGCCCGUUCUUAGUUGGUGGAGUGAUUUGUCUGCUUAAUUGCGAUAACGAACGAG